AUUGAACGCUGGCGGCAUGCCUUACACAUGCAAGUCGAACGGUAACAGGUCUUCGGAUGCUGACGAGUGGCGAACGGGUGAGUAAUACAUCGGAACGUGCCUAGUAGUGGGGGAUAACUACUCGAAAGAGUGGCUAAUACCGCAUGAGAUCUACGGAUGAAAGCAGGGGAUCGCAAGACCUUGUGCUACUAGAGCGGCAGAUGGCAGAUUAGGUAGUUGGUGGGAUAAAAGCUUACCAAGCCGACGAUCUGUGGCUGGUCUGAGAGGACGAUCAGCCACAAUGGGACUGAGACACGGCCCAGACUCCUACGGGAGGCAGCAGUGGGGAAUUUUGGACAAUGGGCGCAAGCCUGAUCCAGCAAUGCCGCGUGCAGGAUGAAGGCCUUCGGGUUGUAAACUGCUUUUGUACGGAACGAAAAGCCCCGGGUUAAUACCCUGGGGUCAUGACGGUACCGUAAGAAUAAGCACCGGCUAACUACGUGCCAGCAGCCGCCGUAA
rnacentral:rRNA from 1 species